rnacentral:rRNA from 1 species
AGUGAACGCUGGCGGUAGGCCUAACACAUGCAAGUCGAACGGCAGCACAGUAAGAGUUUGCUCUUACGGGUGGCGGGUGGCGGACGGGUGACGAAUGCAUCGGAAUCUACUUUUUCGUGGGGGAUAACGUAGGGAAACUUACGCUAAUACCGCAUACGACCUACGGGUGAAAGCAGGGGAUAUUCGGACCUUUCGCGAUUGAAUGAGCCGAUGUCGGAUUAGCUAGUUGGCUGGGUAAAGGCCCACCAAGGCGAGGAUCCGUAGCUGGUCUGAGAGGAUGGUCGGCCCCACUGGAACUGAGACACGGUCCAGACUCCUACGGGAGGCCGCAGUGGGGAACAUGGGACAAUGGGCGCAAGCCUGAUGCAGCCCGCCCGCGUGGGUGAAGAAGGUCUUCGGGUUGUAAAGCCCGUUUGUUGGGAAAGAAAAGCAGCAGGGUGAUACGCCGCUGUUCUGACGGUACCCAAAGAAGAAGCACCGGCUAACUACGUG